UGCGUAGACGGAUGGACAAGUCUGAUGUGAAAGGCUGGGGCUCAACCCCGGGACUGCAUUGGAAACUGCCCGUCUUGAGUGCCGGAGAGGUAAGCGGAAUUCCUAGUGUAGCGGUGAAAUGCGUAGAUAUUAGGAGGAACACCAGUGGCGAAGGCGGCUUACUGGACGGUAACUGACGUUGAGGCUCGAAAGCGUGGGGAGCAAACA
rnacentral:rRNA from 1 species